AGUACGGUCAAGUACGCAUUCACCGCAGGAUUUCAUGCCUAGCCGGAUAUCGGGUAAAGGAUAAAGGGAACAGCACGUCAGAUGCUCCAUGACAUAAACAGAGGGUUAGGCAUGCUGACAGUGAAGUGUGUGCUAAUCUUCCAGGUGGGCCGCCCGUUCCCCCUCCACCCAGCUAGCCAGAACCUUAUCUGUGAUAGCGAUGAUGCCUCAAGGUCCAACGUGAGACACACGUAGCGGGAUUCCUCAAAUGGAGCAGAUAAGGCGUCUGUGUGAAUGCGUGAGUGGUUUGGUCGUCGCAGGUCAAGGCCGCAUUUGAACCGAGCUUCCCCCACCCCCCAAGCUGAGGAGUGACCUCCACGUGACACGUAGAAGGCACCAGGCUGACGUCUCUGCCGUGUAUAACCCAAACCCAGUUUACCGCAUCAUAUCACUGUCUACUGCACGCCAUAUCACUCUUUAUUACAUGAUACAUCCAUAGAUAGAAGAUAGAAUGGCUUUAUUGUCAUUGUACAAAUAGCAAGUACCAUUAAAUUCGAUCCUUGGGUAUCCUGUCCAGCUCUCCCAUGAGACAGACAUAACUAUGUAUAAAUGCAUGUGUGGGAGAGUGAAAUGGGCUGUGUGAGGAUAUAUAUAUGCCUGUGGGAGUGAAUCUUAUGGUGGCCCAAGGCAGA